rnacentral:rRNA from 1 species
GACGAAUGCUGGCGGCAGGCUUAACACAUGCAAGUCGAACGCAUCCUUCGGAGUGAGUGGCAGACGGGUGAGUAACGCGUGGGAACGUGCCCUUCAGUUCGGGAUAACCCAGGGAAACUUGGGCUAAUACCGGAUACGUGCGAGAGCAGAAAGAUUUAUCGCUGAAGGAUCGGCCCGCGUCUGAUUAGCUAGUUGGUGGGGUAAUGGCCCACCAAGGCGACGAUCAGUAGCUGGUCUGAGAGGAUGAUCAGCCACAUUGGGACUGAGACACGGCCCAAACUCCUACGGGAGGCAGCAGUGGGGAAUAUUGGACAAUGGGCGCAAGCCUGAUCCAGCCAUGCCGCGUGAGUGAUGAAGGCCUUAGGGUUGUAAAGCUCUUUCGUCCGGGACGAUAAUGACGGUACCGGAAGAAGAAGCCCCGGCUAACUUCGUGCCAGCCGCCGCCGUAA